CUUUCUCUCUUGAUCUUCGUUUAGGUUAUAGGAUUCAUCAUGGGUACAGAUUUAGGGUCUCCGAUUCAACACUAGUGUCUGCGUUCUCGUUUGGUCUCGAGUUUGGAACCGUUGGUCCUGUUCGGUUCCUUUGUGAAUGAUAGAAACAGAGGAUGGGUUGUACAGGUUCUUUCAAGACCUUGUGCAAGAUAGAUGAAGGCAUAGUAUAAGACUACAUUUUAGUUAUGUUUUGUGGAUUUUCUAUUCUAGUCGAAACAACCAAAGUUUUUGUUGGAAGUGGGAGCUCCCUUUCCAAAACCACUUUGAUUAUUGUCUUUCUAGUAUUCUAGUUGUGUAAAUUCAUGAGAACGUGUACUGGAUGCAGUUUCAUUUA